rnacentral:sRNA from 1 species
CAGCAGAAGGUCCAACAAAGAAGGCUCUUAAUUC